UACGGAGGAUGCGAGCGUUAUCCGGAUUUAUUGGGUGUAAAGGGAGCGUAGACGGCGGUGCAAGCCAGAUGUGAAAGCCCGGGGCUCAACCCCGGGACUGCAUUUGGAACUGUAUGGCUGGAGUGUCGGAGAGGCAGGCGGAAUUCCUAGUGUAGCGGUGAAAUGCGUAGAUAUUAGGAGGAACACCAGUGGCGAAGGCGGCUUACUGGACUGUAAAUGACGCUGAUGCGCGAAAGCGUGGGGAGCAAACAGG
rnacentral:rRNA from 1 species